rnacentral:tRNA from 1 species
AGGGGGUUAGUCCAAAGUAAGAUUUCUGAUUUCGACUCAGAAGAUCGUGGUUAAACCCCAUGAUCCCCUU